AUGAUCUUUGGAGAUUUUAAUGAGAUACUAGUUGCUAGUGAGAAGGAGGGUGGAAACAUCAGACCGCAACAAUAUAUGCAGAAUUUUCGAGACUGUGUGGAUGAUUGUGGUUUACAAGAAAUCAUGUUUAUAGGGGACCCUUUUACUUGGAGUAGAGGUGUGAUCAGAGAAAGGCUGGAUAGAGCCUUAUGCAACGAAAAGUGGGCUGAUAUUUUUCCUUAUGCAGCGGUUAUCCAUGAACACCAUGUACCUUCAGACCACAGACCAAUACUGCUAGAUACAUAA
rnacentral:rRNA from 1 species